rnacentral:lncRNA from 11 species
ACUCUCAUAGCUGCAGUGUGUGGUUGUUCAUCCCCUACAACAUUUAACAGAUGAAAACUUUGAAACAUGGCUAAGCAAUAUCAGAGUAUGGUCAAGAUGGUAGAAUGAUUGAUGAGGAAGGAAACACAAGCUAGGAGAUGCUGCAGCAGUUUGCUCUUGCCUGAGCCCACGAAAAAAGAGAUUCGUUAUGGUGGAUCUGAAGCACAGGAAAGAAAUAAGAAAACAAUUUCAAAACCAUCCUCAAAAAAUUAAAAAGAAGCAUUGUUGAUUUUUUUCCCCCACUGACUGACAUCAGAUUGGAAAAAUGGCAACAGAGUACAUGUUAUUUAUCCAGGUUAUGGGUGGGAGUCAAGCUGGCCCAUAGGCCAAACAUAGAUCUCCGGGAUUUUCAGAUUCUCCCCAAACCACACUCCCUUAGUAGCCCUGCUCUAGGCUAUAGGAAUUAUUUACUUAUUUGUGCUCUGUUUCCCAACCACAGAGCUAAUUGAGGGAAUCUUGCACAAGUGGGAAAAGGUGAAUGUGCACAUGCAAAUCUGCACUGCCUCAAAGUUGCAUAAAAGACAAAUAUUAGUUUUGUCUCUAACACCAUUCCCUUUGGCUCUGGACACACCCAGUGCUGGAUGAGGGAGGCAGUUCACACUGUCAACUUCAGCAGGAAUAAAGGUCUCCAUUCUUUGUGUGUCCUUGGCUGUGAACGAGUGAGCUCACUUGAUGCAGAGUUAUUGCAUUAUCAAUAAACACAAU